UGUUGAAUAACCAGUUCCUUUAUGAUCACGGAAGCUAAUCGACGUCGAGCCCGCUCAGUACCUAGAUAGGUGACCGCUUGGGAAUACCAGGUGCUGUAA